AGAAGAAUAACAGUGUAAUUCUCCUUUGGCAGAAGAACUGGGCAUCUCACUUUUGUCCCUUGUUUCUGCCAAAGGAGAAUUGCCCUGCCAUUCGCCC